rnacentral:misc_RNA from 1 species
CAAACUCUUUAUCUCCAACAGAUAACUGGGCUUCCGAGUAUCAGCAACAGUAUAGUGGAGGUCUUCCCUGGGCUGAUGAAUUUGUUUCUAAUCAAACUAAUCGGUGGGCUGAUGAGUUUGCUGAAGAGAAGAGACAUGUGUCAGAUGAUCCAUGGGUAAAUGAAUUUUCCAAGUUGCACAUGCAAGACUGGGUGGAAGAAUUUGGUCAGCAGGUUGGAGAAGGGGCUUCUGGAGAGGUCGACAAUUGGGCAAAUGCAUAUGAUGAGUAUGUAAAUGAACAAGUAGCUGCCAAGGGUAAAACGGAUGCUUCAAAGGGAAUCUAUGUCUUUUCUGAUAUGAACCCAUAUGUUGGUCAUCCUAAUCCCUUGAAGGAAG